UGUGUUAAAUACCCUUUGUACUACAAGAAAUAUCAUGGCGACACCACCAAUAGUGGCAACAUCUCAACUCCAUGUUUUGAUGUCGCAAUUAUGGAAUCUUUUUAAGUCCUUAACUAAUUGUAAUUAUAAAAUAAUCUAGAUAUAUGUUGAAUGUAUAUAAAUAUUCUUUAAUUUAGUUUGGGAAAAUGUUUGUGAACGUCUUUAAAUUGCUUUACAAGUUCUUUUCUUUCAUGUUAUUUCUUCUAAAUUUGUACAAAAUCAUAUGAUUUAAACAACCACAAUUUUAAUAAUCGCUUGUAAUAUAUUUUUUUUCCCAUAGUUCGUAUAUUUUUGCAAAGUAGUUAUCAUUAACACUUAAUGUUCUAAAAUAUUGUUUUACAAAUAGUACAUAAGUUUUGAAUUCGUUAGUUUGUGUCUAGCAUUGUGUAUUUUGUUUAUUAAGCAACAAAAGGCCACGAGAAGCUAGAAAUUAUCUAUAAAAGAAAAAAGAAGAAUUCAAGGAAUUGGAACAAAUGUCUAAUGUUUUGAGAUAAGGCUAAGUAGUCCCUAAUUAUUCAAAGUGUGAUUGAGUAUCGACAAACUUCAAGAUGCAUGUAAUGUGAUUAUAGAGGACCUUUCAUGACCUUGAUUUCCGUCUCGAUCUCUAAUGAAAUCAUCAAGGAAAUCUUAGAGCAUUUUCUAGGAGAUGCAUAAUGAUUAUUAAUAUUGAAAUUUGUAUUUUAUAUUGUAUCAUCCGUAUUUUAAGGCUAGAACUUUUAGGAAUAUUUUUGGUGAAAAUAUAAAUUUUCAAAGAAUUAAAUUUAAAUAAAUUAAAUAAGUAAUAAAACAAUAAAAACAAAUGAUAUUAAUUGAAUUUUGAGGUUAUAAAUUUUGUUAGAAUGAUAAGGGAAGAUUAAUGGGAGAAAUUAGGGUGGAGGGACCAUAAUUGCCAAAUUUGCGAAAUUUAGGAUUUGACCCGGACCAUGUGAGCAUUUAGUAGUAGAAAUAUUAUUUAUAUGAUAGGGAAGGGUUGAAUGAGGAAAUUGUGAACUUACUAGUUAUUUCCUAAGUUAAAUGGUGAUAUUAGUGGUAACAUUUGUUAUAGAAGGAUUAUUCUUUUCCCUUUUCCAAAGUUUGAGUACUUAGUCAUGUGCCUCUUUUUUUCCUCUCUCGUUUCUAAAGAACUCAAGAAAUUUUAGAUCUUAUAAGUGGAGAUUUGUCUCUUCCAAUGGAGAUUUGAAGCCCAUUUGUUGAAAAACAGAAGAUCUAACUCUUUUCACACCAUCUCCUAGAUCUAGAAGCAAGAAGAUAUAAAAAUUGAUAAAAGUAGAAAAGUGUGACCUUCAUAUGCAUGUAGCAUCCUACUGGAAGCAUUAAUACUCGAGCCAUUAGCAUGUAUAAAGCCGCUGUCAGAGGAAACCUCUUCCAUCGUAAUAAAGGAAGCUGAGAAUGUAAACCAUACAAAGAGCAAUUACUUUUGUUGUUUAUAGAUAUUUCAAUACAAUAACAUAUAUAACUUAAUGAAAAUCUCACCACAUUGGCUGAAUAUGCAGUCCCCACCAGAAACCACCCAACCAAACACCAAAAUAAAGGCGCAGAACUAGUUAUCCAUGCAAUCGAUAAGCUCUACAUAUAAGAUAAAUUAUACAAAGUUAGAGUUACACUGACUUUUUAUAGAAAACCUUUAUACGAAGUUUUUUUUCCUAUACUCUACAUAUGUGUCUUAUAGGUUGUUUAGUAAAUUGUACUAAAUCAUGAACUCAAUGGUUCCAACCUCUAAAUGGUUAAGAGAAGGCAAUGUUGUUUAA